GGGUGAUGAUGAUGAUGAUGUUGUUGUUGAUGAUGAAGAUGAUGAUGGUGAUUUUUCACCUUCUUUUCAAUAUUUACCCAUUACCUCCAUCAACAAUAUCAUAAUCUUUGUCAUCAUCAUCAUCAUCGUCGUCAUCAUCAUCAGUAACA
rnacentral:pre_miRNA from 1 species